rnacentral:rRNA from 1 species
GAUCCUGGCUCGGGAUGAACGCUAGCGACAGGCUUAACACAUGCAAGUCGAGGGGCAGCGGGGUGUAGCAAUACACCGCCGGCGACCGGCGCACGGGUGAGUAACGCGUAUCCAACCUGCCCACCACUUGGGGAUAACCUUGCGAAAGUAAGACUAAUACCCAAUGAUAUCUCUAGAAGACAUCUGAAAGAGAUUAAAGAUUUAUCGGUGAUGGAUGGGGAUGCGUCUGAUUAGCUUGUUGG